rnacentral:misc_RNA from 1 species
AAUGGCCACUCAAAAGUUACUAGAUAUUCAAAUGCAAAUUGGAUUGAUUCUCCGUAAGACAAACGACUUACUUCAAGAUAUUGUGUCUUGUUCAGAGGAAGUUUAAUAUCUUGGAAAAGUAAAAAGAAAAAUGUAGUUGCCAGGUUAAGUGCAGAAGCUAGAACUUAUGAGCUCAUCUAGUUAAAACAACUACUUCAAGUAUUAAAGUGUGGGAAAGUUAAGCAAAUGAAACUAAUAUGUGACAAUUAAGUUGCCUUUCAUACUGCCUCAAAUCUAGUUUUUCAUGA